GACGAACGCUGGCGGCGUGCUUAACACAUGCAAGUCGAACGGGCCUGUCUUCUUUUUUGGGGGUGGGUUGAGUGGCGAACGGGUGAGUAUCACGUGAGUAACCUGCCCUUCGGUCCUGGAUAACCGCUUGAAAGGGCGGCUAAUACGGGGUGGUCCGGUUGGUCCGCUUGGGCUGGUCGGGAUAGAUUCACUGUUUUUGGUGUUUCGGCGGGGGAUGGGCUCGCGGCCUAUCAGCUUGUUGGUGGGGUGAUGGCCUACCAAGGCGGUGACGGGUAGCCGGCCUGAGAGGGUGGGCGGCCACACUGGGACUGAGAUACGGCCCAGACUCCUGCGGGAGGCAGCAGUGGGGGGUAUUGCACAAUGGGCGGAAGCCUGAUGCAGCGACGUCGCGUGAGGGAUGGAGGCCUUCGGGUUGUGAACCUCUGUUUCCAGUGGUGAAGGCCCUGUCCGUGUGGUGGGGUUGACGGUAGCCGGGGAUGAAGCGCCGGCUAACUACGUG
rnacentral:rRNA from 1 species